GGAGCUAUUUAUGAUAUUUCACUGUAUCAGAAUCAUUUUUACACCUUCUGGGGGGUUUUUUUUUUUUGAAAGAACCUGAAUCAAUAUUUUUAAAUUGUAGCAAAUUCUCAGUGGCCGUUUCAAACUCCAAAGUUCACUAAGUUUCAUAAAAACCAUAUUUCUGAUUUCGGUUCAACUAUCGGUUGUUGCUACUUAAAUGACUUCAACGAUUAUUUGUUCAUUAUUAUAAAUUUACUUAAGGCUAUUGUAUAAAUAAUAUAUUAUAUUUAGGUACGAAUUAAGAAUUUGUUACAUUCUAGAAAAUUACUAAUAUUGGAACUUCUAUUUAAAUGACAAGGAAUCAAAU